UGUUGUGUAACAUCUGUGCAUGACUGCAUCAUGGACUGACACACCGAUCAAUGGAGAGAGAUUCAAAGCUUGCAGGGAAUUUCAAUGCCCCCCCUGUGCCUUCUGGAAUCUUAAUGCUGUCACCUGCAAAAGCUUCAGAGGUCAAAAACACACAGCAAGAAGAAAAAUUUCCAGUUUGAAAAAAAUUCCUUGCAAAUUCAAUAUUUAUAAAAGUUUGUUGGUCAUAGAGGCUGAACUGUGGGCAGCUCCAUCACUUUCCCUGCCACGCUGCUGCCUGAAAAGCAAUACUCAACUUCAGAACCUGACUAGAAGGAAACAGAAGCAGGGGGAGAAGUACCUUACAGAGAUGUUGCUGAUCUGCCAGAUGAUGCAACCUUUGGUCUCUCUCUUCUUGGCCAGACAAAGAAGCUGCCACAGGGAAAUAAGUUACUCAAUCUGUGAAAGCAUUUGACCUUUAUUUUCAUUUCAUCUAUGUUGGUGUAAAUUCGGAGGAACCUUAUCACAGUUACAGAAUGGCCAGAAAUGUAAAAUUGUUGUAAGUAGAAGAGUUGACACUCUAGAUUUUUAUCCAAAAAGUAACUCCAUUGUCAGUGUUUAAUGUGCUCUCUAAAGUUGGUACCACUAUACUGAGUAAAUUAAUAGAUUGUGCUCCAGAUUUAUUUCAUUGAUUUUUGUGAAUCCUGCCAAGGAAAGAUAGUCUCUUAAAACUCCUAGGUAGAAACUUACAGAUGGCAGUAUAUCUGUCCUCACUAAUACUCUGAAAAUACUUAAUGGUUUUGUCUGGAUCCUAAACUCUAGAUUUUGUUAUCCCAAAAUUAUGAAGGAAUAUACUCCAGUUAAAUGAAUGCUGUUGCCAUAUUAUUUCCUACAUCAAGCCCAAAGCUGUGAAUAGGAAAUUUUCUGGCAGACUCAUUUGGAAGUUGUGAAGUCUGCCUGUUUGAAAAAGAAAUAUGGGAGCUGAAGCUCCUUAUUAUUAUUCUGGAAGGUGUUUUUAACACCUUUGCAGUUAUAUAUCUUCUUCAGAGUGUCUGUGUUUAGCAGAAUUUUUUUACAACCAUUUAAUGAACAAGCUUAUAUAAGAAUGGCAGCAGAAUGUUUGCUCAGGUCUGCACCCCUGGCAUCUUGGAGGCUGAAGGCACACUAGCCCUGAAGACUGAGGAAGAAAGGUUAAGAGUGUGAUUACUACCCGCUUGCUGCAAGAGUCUGUGCCUUGGCUUACCCUCCAGAGGCGAGCACAGUUUACAGCGUGCAGGUGGAUGUCGGCAUCCGAAGUGCUGCUCGGGCACCAGCAGCUGCCAGCCCUGCCAGAGCAGGAGCCUCUCCAGCAGCAGCACCGUGCAGCGGGCACAGAAUUGCUCCUGAACAGCUCCCAAGAGCUGUUAGCAUGGUUGUCUCAAUAGUCAGCUGCAUGGCAGUAAUUCCUCAGCAUUCAAAUUAUUGAUCAGACCUCUCUGGGCUAAGCGCUGUGCAAGCACACAACGAGAGCAGGGUUGUUUUUUCAUGGCUGUAGAGGUUCCACAAACACACACUCACAUGAGCAUUUCUCGCUCUGAGGGAACAUUCCCUCACACUAACAAGAGGUCACAGGGAAUAUUGCUGCAAAUAUGUGUGCUUUGCUUUCCUGCUUCAAAUCCUGUGUAAAUUAGGAUCCAAAUCAUGUAAUGAGAGAUUAAAUUUACAGGGCAGCACAAGAUAAACAAAUGA